AGCCCUCUAAGCAGCUGAGAUUACAGCAUGCGCCACUAUCCCCGGAUUGAAGAAUUGUAUCUAUCUUCAAGUUCACUUUCUCUGUCAUCUCUAUUCUGCUAUUGUGCCAUCAGGGUCAAGCAGCAAGAAGAUAAACAGAGAAAAAAAAUUAACAGUUAUUAGCCCCACCCUAAUGAAGCCAAAGAGUUCCACUGGGAAAGAGCAACUGAAAGCUCUGCGUUUGAAACUCUCCUGGACUCAGUCUCAUGUAUCUCCCACUUUGGCUGAUGACGAUCUAUAUCCUUUAACUGUAAUAAACAAACCAUAACUGUAAGUACAACAGUUCUGUGAGUCUUUCUAGCAAAAUCAAAGGUGGUCCUGGGGAUCCCCAAAUUUGAAAUUGAUCUUCGAAGUGAGGGUGGUUUGUAUAGACUGAAUAUUUGUGUUUCUAAAAAUUCAUAUGUUUAAAUCCUAACCUCCAGUGUAAUGCUUUAGGAUGUGGAAUCAUUGUAGGUGAUUAGGUCAAGAGAGUGGAGGCCUCAUGAGUGGGAAAGCUCACUUGCCACUUCUACCAUGUGAGUUUACAGCGAGAACAGUCUACAAACCUGGAAGAGGACCCUCACCAGGCAAUGAAUAUUUGAUCUUGGCCUUCC
rnacentral:lncRNA from 1 species